UGUAAGCGUAUACCAAAGUUGUUGCAGUUAAAACGCUCGUAGUCGGAAUUUGGCAGUUCCGGAUGUGUGCACGUCGUGUGCGCACUUCGCGGGGAUUGCUUUUGUGGUCUUGCGUAGGAUGAGGCACUUUUAUUAGUGAACGUCCUCACGCAACCACUUUUUACUGUGAGAAAAUCAGAGUGCUCAAAGCAGGCAUUUGCCGUGAAUGUAUUAGCAUGGAAUAAUAGAAUAGGACUUGGUUCUAUUUUGUUGGUUUGUUGGGACGGAGUAAUGAUUAAGAGGGACAGUUGGGGGCAUUUGUAUUUCGGUGCUAGAGGUGAAAUUCUUAGAUUACCGAAAGACAAACUGCUGCGAAAGCGUCUGCCAAGGAUGUUUUCAUUGA
rnacentral:rRNA from 1 species